GUCGCGGUGUGGGCGCCGGCCGUCCCGUAUGCGCGGGCUUCCCGAGGUGAUUCAGCCCUCCCGGGGUUGUCUAGCAUUCGACGUCCCUCACUGUGGUGAAGAAAACAAAGUGCAGUGAGAGCUGAAGGCCGUGGCAGCUGAGCUGUUAGCGUUCCUCUUCCCCUCCUUAGUUUGGGGGCUUAGAAGCGGCUUUUCAGUCGGUGCUGAGCGUGUCCUUGGCCGGGAGGAGCUGGAGGAAGGUGGAAUUCGGGGCAUGUGGGGAAUAAGCGAUAAGAGAUGUGCCUUCAAGUGGCGUGUAGCCUUUGAGAGGCAGGUGCUGUGUGAAUAUUGAGCAGCUUCGUCUGUCCUUUGCCCUCAGCUCUCAGCACAGCUGCAGCUGAAGUAUUAAAGAUGUUUUGAACUAAGAAGAAAAAAAGACAAAAAAGAAGAAAAAAAAAACAAAAAAAAAAACCCCGUGAGAACAGUACCCACGAGUUAAGGCAUGGAGCAAACAAGUUCCCUUUUAUUCAGUUUCUUUCCUCAUCUUUCCUUCCUCUUACCGCCGUGGGCAGUAAAAAUGUGAGGAUGAUGUAAACAGGUUGCAUCACAGCUUUUCUGUUCUCCCGGAGCUGUAGCCAAACUGUGCACCUUUACCCUUCUCCUGAUGGUAAAAAAUGGAAAACAGUGAGUUCUUAUGCCAUGGCAUGCACACAGACUGAUUCUGCAGAAGCAGAAAUAGGUGGGGAUUGAAGUUUAGCGAGUUCACGGUCUCUCAUGAGUACUGAUUUUUUUUGUUUUUUUUUUUCCCUUUUAGCAAUAGUGUUCUGGUAAAUGAUAGAAUGAUCGGAGAAAGUGGGGCAGGGUGUGAGAAACGCAGCAAAACUCUAGAAAAAGAGAUAUUUUUGUAUUUUCCGGAAAAGAAUAGGGAAGAUGGUCUGGCACUGAUUUCACUCUAAACUUCAUACAAAGUCCAUAUAAAAUAGCAAGUCCUUUGUAGUACAGAACAUGUAACUUGUUGUGGAACACUGUGAAACUUCUGGAAGUUGAUCAAUCUGCUGUGUCAAGUACAAGUGUAAACCUUUACUAGCAAGGAGUUGCUCAUGUUCUUAUGAAUCAAAUGUACCUGACUGCAUUCCACACUUUUGCUUCCUGGUAGCAGGACUAUUGAGAAACCCCGGAUCUCAGAGGGAUGUGGUUCUGCUUUCUGUUUCGCCAGACCUGGUAGCACUCAGUUUUUUCCUGUGUUUCUGAGCUGCUGUUUCUUCUUAGCUCAUGGAUGCAACACCUUUUCCUCCUCUCCUAAUCUACAGAUAUACCGUAGUGCUUAUAGACUUGAAAAAGUCUUGGCGUGGUGACAGGCAAAGUGUCGUGUGGUCUCAUGUGACUGCAGGCUAUUAGAGGAAAAAGUAGAGUUGAAUUCUGGAUAGCUGGGUGCCACUGAGGGGCUUGAUUGCUGUGUUUUGUCAUAAACCUACCAAAUCCUUUGAAAUCGUUUCUUUUGGUUUCCUCUGAGAUGCCAGCUGAGAAAAGGCACAGUGCUUUCCAGAGACCGGAAACAUGAACGCUGCAUUGGCAAAAUCGGAUCAGAGUUCAAUAAACAGCCUGAAAGUAACAGCAUUGUUUGGGAGGGAGCGGCUGUUUCAUUCUGGCAGAAAACUUCAGCGAUGGAAUCAAAAUGAUGCGAGUGCUACUGGAUAACAGGAGCAUCAGGAGCAUCUCUGGAGAUGGUUCUUCUCCGAGCACAACUUCCAAAUGUAAAGGAUUAUAAUAGUGCUGGAAGCUCUGGAAUACCCUGUUGAAAAUAUGCUUUUCUCAGUAGAUCAGAGGAAAAAAAAAAAAA